AGGCGGUAACCCCACCACCACCCUCAUCUCCGUCACUCUCCCAUGAUGGGUAUCACCCCUCCUCUGCUCCGACAACCGGCGGCUCUCCUCCCCAGGCCGGCGACGCGGAUCUGGUGGUACGGGACGACCACGGAGCGGCCGGCGAGCUCCAGGCGGCGCGGCGGCGAUAGCAGCUCGACGGCGUCGCCCUCCCUAUCCCCCACACCUCCGUCGCCUCUGCCCCCUCACCACCGGGUCACUCCCUCACCACCGGAUCUCGCCACUGGAUCCCGUCGCCGACGGAGAUCUCGCCGUCGGAUCCUGCCACCGACCUUCUUAAGUGGUGGUGGUGGAGGGGGGGAGGGUGGAUUGGGGCUCGUCGCCUCGAGGAGGCCGACGGCGAUGUGGCUUUACGGCGAGGGUCGACCCACCGCCUGUUCUUCAACUGCUUCCGAUGCCCUCCAUAUAUCUCAGUGAGUUGAUUCGCCGAGGAAGAUGGCGAUUCGCCGGAUCCCUUCAUCCUGCCAAUCUUCAUUUUUUUUCCAGUAUACAGUGCUUCCUACAUGAUCAAUAUCUCAAAUCUCAAUGAAGAUAGGCAGAUUGUUAUUCCAGGUUGGUUCUCUGGAUGUGUGGAAGUUUGCAAUUUGCAGAUCAAUGGCUGUAUAUGGUUGAUAUAAAUUUGAAGAUCACUGGCUCUAUAUGGUUGAUAACUUGAUAUGAGGGUAAUUGGGAAAUCUGUGAUAAGCACAUCUCAAGAAGCUAUGUAUAAGUUGUAGCGAAAAAUUCCAUUUGCACAUCAACAAGAAGGCCUUGCUGUAAUUCAAUCCUCUAUUUGCUAUGAGUGGAGGACGAGAAGCAAGGAGUGAUUCCAUUCAAUGUUUGAAAGAUUUGUUUUGUUUUCUGUUUUCAGAUUUCCUGUUAUUAGGUUGAAUCUGAGAUGAAAUAUUGUUUGAAUUCUGUUGUAUUCUGAUUGUAUCUGUUAUUAGUUGAAUCUGAGAUGGUACAUGUAAUUAGGUUUGAAUCUGAAAUGGUAUGAGAAAUUGGAUUGAAUUUGGUGGGCUCAAA